rnacentral:rRNA from 1 species
UAAUUUAUAUACAAAAGUGUGAGUUAGCAAUAAUAUUAUUAAGUCUGAUAAAUAUUUGUGCCAGCAUUCGCGGUUAUACUUUAAGAUUAAGUAAAAAAUAAUAGUUUUAGUUAAAUUAAAAAUUUUAUAAAAUUUAUAAGUAAUAAAAGGUAAAAUUUAAUUGUUAUAUUAUAUUAAAUUGUAGUAUUUAUAAUUGAAGCUAAAAAAUCUAUUUAUAAACUAGGAUUAGAUACCUUAUUAUUUUAGAAAAUAAUAUAAAACUAGAUUAUUAUUAGUUAUUCACUUUAAAAUUAAAAAAUUUGGCGGUGAUUUAAUCUUUUCAGAGGAAUUUGUUAUUUUAAAUGGAUAAUCCACGAAAAAUCUUACUUAUUUUUGUUAAUAUAAAUACUAGUUUGUAUACCAUCAUUAUCAGAUAAUUCUGUAAAAGGUAAAUUAUUUAAAUUAAAUAACUGUUGAAAUUAGAUCAAGGUGCAGCUUAUAGAUAAGGUAAAAAUGAAUUACAAUAAAUUAUUUUAUAAUGGAUUAAUUAAAAGAAUAUUUUAUUAUGAAAGAGGAUUUGAUAAUAUUAUAAUUUUAAUAAGUUUAUAAGAUAGUAGCUCUAAAUCAUGUACAUAUUGCCCGUCACUUUCAUUUAUAAAUGAAAUAAGUCGUAACAUAGUAGGAUGUACUGGAAAGUGUAUCUA